rnacentral:pre_miRNA from 1 species
CUUGUCUGCACUCCCGUUCUUUAUAGGCCUGAAGUAAGCCAAAAGAGCGGGAGUGCAGAUAAC